AACGAACGCUGGCGGCAUGCCUAACACAUGCAAGUCGAACGGGAUCCUAGCUUGCUAGGUGAGAGUGGCGGACGGGUGAGUAACACGUGGGAAUCUGCCUUUUGGUUCGGGAUAACCGCGGGAAACUGCGGCUAAUACCGAAUGCCCUCGAGAGAGGAAAGAUUUAUCGCCAGAAGAGGAGCCCGCGUCCGAUUAGGUAGUUGGUGGGGUAAAGGCCUACCAAGCCGACGAUCGGUAGCUGGUCUGAGAGGAUGAUCAGCCACACUGGGACUGAGAUACGGCCCAGACUCCUACGGGAGGCAGCAGUGGGGAAUAUUGGACAAUGGGGGCAACCCUGAUCCAGCAAUGCCGCGUGAGUGAUGAAGG
rnacentral:rRNA from 1 species